rnacentral:rRNA from 1 species
GUGGGGAAUCUUAGACAAUGGGCGCAAGCCUGAUCUAGCCAUGCCGCGUGAGUGAUGAAGGCCCUAGGGUUGUAAAGCUCUUUCAGCUGGGAAGAUAAUGACGGUACCAGCAGAAGAAGUCCCGGCUAACUCCGUGCCAGCAGCCGCGGUAAUACGGAGGGGGCUAGCGUUGUUCGGAAUUACUGGGCGUAAAGCGCGCGUAGGCGGACUGAAAAGUUGGGGGUGAAAUCCCGGGGCUCAACCUCGGAACUGCCUUCAAAACUAUCAGUCUGGAGUUCGAGAGAGGUGAGUGGAAUUCCGAGUGUAGAGGUGAAAUUCGUAGAUAUUCGGAGGAACACCAGUGGCGAAGGCGGCUCACUGGCUCGAUACUGACGCUGAGGUGCGAAAGCGUGGGGAGCAAACAGGAUUAGAAACCCGGGUAGUCC